rnacentral:rRNA from 1 species
UACGAAGGGUGCAAACGUUGCUCGGAAUUAUUGGGCGUAAAGCGCACGUAGGCGGCUUAGCAAGUCGGAAGUGAAAUCCCACGGCUCAACCAUGGAAGUGCUCUCGAAACUGCAAGGCUUGAGUAUGGAAGAGGGUCUCGGAAUUCCCGGUGUAGAGGUGAAAUUCGUAGAUAUCGGGAGGAACACCAGUGGCGAAGGCGGAGACCUGGGCCAAUACUGACGCUGAGGUGCGAAAGCGUGGGGAGCAAACAGG